UAUUUAUUAUCCGUGUCGGCUUCACCUGGAGAUGGUAUUCCCUGCCUUCCGCACAGUCAGGUUUGUUUCUUCCGGGUGCAGCAGGCAUUAUGGGAAAAACUCCCCCAGAUCUUCUGGAUCUUGCUCCCACCGCCUGACUUAGUUGAUGAAGAAAAGCUUCAUUUUCAAGCCAGAGAUGGAGACAGGAGUCGGGGCUUCACACAGCCCACGCCGCCGUUCCCAGUCUGUAUGCAGGUUCAAACACGUGCUCACGUGUGCACCACAGCAACACCAUGUGCAUACACACAGCUGUUCAGAUCUCUGUUUACCAGUGUGCAACUGACUCCAAACUCAGUUCUGUGUGGAAAGUCGACACUUCAGGGUUACCUGUGAGAGACAGAAGCUGCUGUUACUGUAACAAUUACGGUAGAGAGAAGUUGAACAGCGCUGGAGGGUGAAGAGUCAAUCCCAAGGCGCGCUCAUUUCCCAGUGUUCAAUUGUGUAUUUCCUAAGUUUGAAGUUACUGAGACUCAAUGGACCAUAUGCAUUUAAUCAAGAAAACACUCUUUUUAGAACCUAGCAGUACUGGGAUCAAAGUGAGGGCCUUGCACCAGUUGGGAAUGUGCUCUACCACUGAACUACCACCCCAGCAAGAAAAUAUUCUCUCUACAGUGCUGAAAGACCUCACGAACUGAGAACUAUUCCUACACAAUAGAGUAUAUUUUCUAUUC